GGGGAGACCUCUAGUGAAAGAGACUAAAUGGUCCACAUAUACAAUUCCCUUGGAGUCUGCCCCUAUUCCCGAACAUGUUGGUCCUAUCUUUCCUACCAAUCAAGUCCCAUGGAUAACAUACUAUAGGAAAAAUCUCAGGAAGGAAACAGCGUCACCUGUUGCAUCUCCGGCUCCAGUCCAUGAGUCAAACCCGAUAUCAGGUACAUGUAUUCCUGAAAUUAAUGAGAUUGAUACUUGUACUAACGAGUGCAGAGAGGAAAAGGGAGGAAAAGGUGCUAAUAGCAUCACUAUAGCAGAUGGGAAGACGACAGUGAACGACGAUUCAGACACAGCUCUAGAAAACGUGAGUGAUACUAAAGAUAAUGGUGAAAAAGGUGUGAUUUCUGAAGAUGAGAAACAGGAAGAGGAGACUAGUGAUCACAAUGGAAAUUCUGACAGUUUGAAGGAAUAUGAUGCUUCUCUUGAUCUUCCAAUAGCCCUGAGGAAAGGUAUUCGGUCAUGUACAAGUGAGUGUCGUCAGUCAGUUUAUGCAAGCUCCUUGUGAAGAACACAUGAUAGCAGUUGAACGCAUCCUUCGAUAUCUGAAAGGUACACCAGAAAAUCAACAUCAGGGUAUUGCACAUUUGUUUGGGGUAAUCUUGUGACCUGGAGGAGCAAGAA